GACGAACGCUGGCGGCGUGCUUAACACAUGCAAGUCGAACGGAAAGGCCCUGCUUUUGUGGGGUGCUCGAGUGGCGAACGGGUGAGUAACACGUGAGUAACCUGCCCUUGACUUUGGGAUAACUUCAGGAAACUGGGGCUAAUACCGGAUAGGAGCGCCUGCUGCAUGGGGGGGGUUGGAAAGUUUCGGCGGUUGGGGAUGGACUCGCGGCUUAUCAGCUUGUUGGGGGGGGAGUGGCUUACCAAGGCUUUGACGGGUAGCCGGCCUGAGAGGGUGGCCGGCCACAUUGGGCCUGCGAUACGGCCCAGACUCCUACGGGAGGCAGCAGUGGGGAAUAUUGCACAAUGGGCGGAAGCCUGAUGCAGCAACGCCGCGUGCGGGAUGACGGCCUUCGGGUUGUAAACCGCUUUCGCCUGUGACGAAGCGUGAGUGACGGUAAUGGGUAAAGAAGCACCGGCUAACUACGUG
rnacentral:rRNA from 1 species